UUUUAUGGAGAGUUUGAUCCUGGCUCAGGAUGAACGCUGGCGGCGUGCCUAAUACAUGCAAGUCGAGCGAACGGACGAGAAGCUUGCUUCUCUGAUGUUAGCGGCGGACGGGUGAGUAACACGUGGAUAACCUACCUAUAAGACUGGGAUAACUUCGGGAAACCGGAGCUAAUACCGGAUAAUAUUUUGAACCGCAUGGUUCAAAAGUGAAAGACGGUCUUGCUG
rnacentral:rRNA from 1 species